UUCGAACGAAUUCGGAUCCUUUACCACACAAUCGGCUUCUAAUAACGAUUCGCAUAUCGUACAAACAAAAGAAAUCAUUCACCAAUAAAUACACACGCACCAUUCAACAAACAAUGAAACAUACACUUUACAAAUCAUACAUAUAAAAGGAAGACAUCUAAAAAUAAACCUUGAUUUGUAAUUAUAAUAUAAGUCUAUCCAUAUCGACGAUAGUCUCAUUUGCUACGAGGUAAACUACUAAUAAUUUAGUCUCGAGAAUACACUAGAGGAAUCUAUAUGGCAAAUUGACUAUGGAGGUAUAUACUAUAUGGAUUCAUUUAAAAAUACAUAAAUGUGGUGCUAAUUCAAACUUUAUAGAAUCUAGAAAAUUAACCAAUUAAUUAUUGUAUUUCUACCGGAAAGGAUGUAGGUAAUAUUUUAUUAUUUCUUUCUAAAAGAAAAUUAUAGUAAACGUUACAACCUUAUUUAAAAAGUCACAUAACCUUGAUAUUUAAAAGAACUAAAUUAACCUACCAAUUUAAUUCUACUAUUUAGUUUAUAGUAGACAUAGUCGCUAUAUUAUUUUAUUAAUCGAGGCUCUAGCAUGACUAGCAAUUUGUAUAUAAUCACACAUACGAACACAUACGGUGUGACUAAAAUAUAUAAUUCAUUCUGAGCAAAGACAACCGUAGAAUUAUUCAUCUAGUAUUAUUGUUACAAAUAUAUGGUUUACCUAUCCCUUAAUCUUUUACUCUAACAAACUAUAUUUAAAUUAAUGUCAACAAUCAUAAUCAAAUUAAAAUACACAAACGUGAAAGACAGCAUACACUAAUUAAAAUAGAUCAUCACAUACAUAUGAAAUUAAUCGUUCAGUAUAAACAUGAUUUCAGACUCAAAAUUCACAACUAAAAAUUAUAAUUCGCCACAGAAGUUAGAUCGUGAUUAACUAACUCUUUUGAACUAAGAAAUAAUCUCACACAAAAUAAUCUAUCUAUAGGGAUUAGACACAAAAUAUUCUUUUUCUACCUCUCCUUUCUCUUGUGCAGUGAACGAGGACGAAUGGGGCAGGUAGUCGGGUGUCGGGGGAAAGUCGUCGGGACGCAGCGUCGGCUUCGGAGUUCCGGUCAACGGUGAACGGCUCCAGCGGCGAGCGGCUCCGGUCAGCGGUGAACGGUGAGGACCAUGCCACGGAGGAGGGAGUUCGAUGGAGGUGCGGCUGGGGAGCUCGGAGUGGGCUUGGGACGGAUGGGGACUGGCUCUAUGGGGGCACGGUCGAGUUUUGUAGAGGUGUGGGAAGGUGUAACGGACGCCGGUAGAGCUUCAUUGGCCAUUAAU
rnacentral:lncRNA from 1 species